rnacentral:rRNA from 1 species
GCGUUUCGAAAAUGAAUCAAAACUUUCAACAACGGAUCUCUUGGUUCUGGCAUCGAUGAAGAACGCAGCGAAAUGCGAUAAGUAAUGUGAAUUGCAGAAUUCAGUGAAUCAUCGAAUCUUUGAACGCACAUUGCGCCCGCCAGUAUUCUGGCGGGCAUGCCUGUCCGAGCGUCAUUU